GUUGGUUGCACCAGAAGUAGGUAGCUUAACCUUCGGGAGGGCGGUCGCCACGGUGUGGUUCAUGACUGGGGUGAAGUCGUAACAAGGUAGCUGUAGGUGAACCUGCAGAAGGAUCA
rnacentral:rRNA from 1 species